UGCGCGGCUUUCCGGGGGCAGCCCAUCGUGUGCCCCCCGCGCGUGCUUUUUGUUCGCAUCCGAGCCGCGUGCUUGGCGCAGAACAACUCGCGCGCCGGCCAAGCAUUCCUAAUUUCUCCACUCGCCUAACGCGCCGCUCUAUAGCUACGGCCCCGCCGGGCACGCUGCUCGCGGACGCGCCGGCCAGGAGCCUGGAUCCAUUAAGGAACCGGAGACCACCUUCGUCAUCUUAAAAGAUGGAGGUGGACGGGGAUUUCCAAUUUUCCCCCGACUGAGGUGCAGAUCCGGCUGGUGCAGGAUCUGAGAACCGUGACGAAGCUCACGAGGCAACCGAUCUGCUAAAUUUCGAUCUGGCAGGCCUCCAUAGGCUGUCGUCGCGUCACGCUUCUGCGGCUCGUCAACUGCUACUGUUUUUCUUGACGGGAGCAAUUUUUUGUUUUCCCCUAAUUUUCUGUCGAUCUACUUGCUCUCGUUUCCUUGAUCUGUUUCAUGUCCAAAUUGAGUUGAAGGAGAUGACCAGAUGACGUCGAGGGAGCAGCGUGUCCUGGCCCCGUCGCGCCGGCUUCACCGUUAGCAGCAACGGGAGGGGCCGCAUCGUGUUCAACAAGACCAUGCCCGGGAGCUGCGUGAGGCCGUGAGCGAUGUCGUCUCCGUCUCCGGGGCGUCGUGUGGCUCGGGCUGCGGUGACAUGGUCGGCGGAAGCUGCAAUGCCACAGCCCACAGGGGGAGGCGAGCGUCAGAGCAGAGCAUGCAGUACCGCGUGGGGGAGCAGCAAGCCAGCAGGCCGCAUGCUUCUACUUCCUCCAAUUUCUUGAUUCCUAUUGUUGUUUGUCUGCUUUUUCUAUUUUCUAUUAUAAACGGAUUCGUUACCAGCCGAGCCUCCUAUCACUGUGAUUUUGAUAUCUAGUUCUUUGUUUUCUCUUCGAUGAACUUGAUUUUGCUUGACUCAA